GACGCUACAGCCUCUAGUCUUCUUGGGUAUGACGCUACAGCCUCUAGUCUUCUUGGGUAUGACGCUACAGCCUCUAGUCUUCUUGGGUAUGACGCUACAGCCUCGUGUCUUCCUACUAGGCUACCACAGUAUAUGAUAACUGUAACAAUAGACUACAGAAGACAAGGAGACAUUGUUGGAGUUUUAAAUAAAUACUUUAAUGUUCUGUUAUACCCUGAGGUAAUUUAAUGUCCUGUUAUGCCCUGAGGUAAUUUAAUGUCCUGUUAUGCCCUGAGGUAAUUUAAUGUUCUGGUAUGCCCUGAGGUAAUUUAAUGUUCUGUUAUACCCUGAGGUAAUGAUGUAAUGUUCUGUUAUACCCUGAGGUAAUGUAAUGUUCUGUUAUACCUUGAGAUAAUGAUUUAAUGUGAUGUUAUACCCUGAGGUAAUUUAAUGUUUUGUUAUACCCUGAGAUAAUGAUUUAAUGAUUUAAUGUUCUGUUAUACCCUGAGAUAAUGAUUUAAUGUGAUGUUAUACCCUGAGGUAAUUUACUGUUCUGUUAUACCCUGAGAUAAUGAUUUAAUGUGAUGUUAUACCCUGAGGUAAUU
ensembl:lncRNA